GACAUCGCACACCACAGCAGUCUUCCAUAGCGCAGAGGGUUCUUGGAGGGGAGCCGGUUCCUCUCAUCUAGCUUCCUCUGCAGAUCCACCUGCAAGAAGGACCACAGAGAAGUGGUGCAGGCUCUGGAGAAUGUGGG